CUGAACUUAAGCAUAUCAAUAA
rnacentral:rRNA from 3 species